rnacentral:misc_RNA from 1 species
CAACCAAGCCCCAGGGCUCACUAACUGUCGCCCACCAAAAGAUAAAAAGGGGAAAAAAAUUAGAACCUAAAAACAAGGCAUGACAAGGAAAGAAAAGAAAACCCUUCCCCUCCAACAAAGCAGACACAAAUUUAAAAAAAAAAAAAAUCAGCUAUUUUUCCUUUCCCACCCAUAAAAUUCUUGUACAAAUUUUCUCGAGAGAAGGAGAGGCAA